rnacentral:misc_RNA from 1 species
UCCGGUUCAUCACCGGCAGUCUCCUUAGAGUCCCCAACUUUACUUGCUGGCAACUAAGGACAAGGGUUGCGCUCGUUACGGGACUUAACCCAACAUCUCACAACACGAGCUGACGACAGCCAUGCAGCACCUGUCUCUGCGUUCCUUUCGGCACUCCAGCUGCUAAGCCAGAUUCGCAGGAUGUCAAGGGUAGGUAAGGUUCUUCGCGUUGCAUCGAAUUAAACCACAUGCUCCACCGCUUGUGCGGGCCCCCGUCAAUUCAUUUGAGUUUCAACCUUGCGGCCGUACUUCCCAGGCGGAGAACUUAUCGCGUUAGCUUCAAUACUGAUUGGUUCCCCAACCAACAUUUAGUUCUCAUCGUUUACAGCGUGGACUAC